AAAGCGGGCCUUUAUAGGCAUCCUCUCCCAAAAACUUUUCCAGCCCGGCCAUUUUGGUCGGGCUUUUUUCUUGCCUCCU
rnacentral:sRNA from 1 species